GAUGAAGAACGUAGCGAAAUGCGAUAAGUAGUGUGAAUUGCAGAAUUCAGUGAAUCAUCGAAUCUUUGAACGCACAUUGCCCCCUUUGGUAUUCCUUAGGGCAUGCCUGUUCGAGCGUCAUUUAAACCUUCAAGCUAAGCUUGGUGUUGGGUGACUGUCCGCCUCACGGCGGACUCGCCUCAAAAUUAUUGGCGGCCGGUACAUUGGCUUCGAGCGCAGCAGAAACGCGAACUCGGGCCCGUCGUAUUGGCUCCCAGAAGCUAUCUUCACAAUUUUGACCUCGGAUCAGGUAGGGAUACCCGCUGAACUUAAGCAUAUCAAUAAGCGGAGGA
rnacentral:misc_RNA from 1 species